rnacentral:rRNA from 1 species
AGAUUGAACGCUGGCGGCAUGCUUUACACAUGCAAGUCGAACGGUAACGCGGGGGCAACCCUGGCGACGAGUGGCGAACGGGUGAGUAAUACAUCGGAACAUGUCCUGGAGUGGGGGAUAGCUCGGCGAAAGCCGGAUUAAUACCGCAUACGCUCUGAGGAGGAAAGCGGGGGACCCGUAAGGGCCUCGCGCUGCGGGAGUGGCCGAUGUCGGAUUAGCUAGUUGGUGAGGUAAGGCUCACCAAGGCGACGAUCCGUAGCUGGUCUGAGAGGAUGAUCAGCCACACUGGGACUGAGACACGGCCCAGACUCCGUACGGGAGGCAGCAGGUGGGUAAUUUUGGACAAGUGGGGGACAACCCUGAUCCAGCAUGACCGCGUGAGUGAAGAAGGCGUUACGGGUUGUAAGCUCGUUUCGGACGGACGAAGUGGUACGGACGGUAAGUACGUCCGUGGUAUA